rnacentral:rRNA from 1 species
GACGAACGCUGGCGGCGUGCUUAACACAUGCAAGUCGAACGGAAAGGCCCUGCUUUUGUGGGGUGCUCGAGUGGCGAACGGGUGAGUAACACGUGAGUAACCUGCCCUUGACUUUGGGAUAACUUCAGGAAACUGGGGCUAAUACCGGAUAGGAGCUCCUGCUGCAUGGUGGGGGUUGGAAAGUUUCGGCGGUUGGGGAUGGACUCGCGGCUUAUCAGCUUGUUGGUGGGGUAGUGGCUUACCAAGGCUUUGACGGGUAGCCGGCCUGAGAGGGUGACCGGCCACAUUGGGACUGAGAUACGGCCCAGACUCCUACGGGAGGCAGCAGUGGGGAAUAUUGCACAAUGGGCGGAAGCCUGAUGCAGCAACGCCGCGUGCGGGAUGACGGCUUUUGGGUUGUAAACCGCUUUCGCCUGUGACGAAGCGUGAGUGACGGUAAUGGGUAAAGAAGCACCGGCUAACUACGUG